AUUGAACGCUGGCGGCAGGCCUAACACAUGCAAGUCGAGCGGAUGAAGGGAGCUUGCUCCUGGAUUCAGCGGCGGACGGGUGAGUAAUGCCUAGGAAUCUGCCUGGUAGUGGGGGAUAACGUCCGGAAACGGGCGCUAAUACCGCAUACGUCCUGAGGGAGAAAGUGGGGGAUCUUCGGACCUCACGCUCUCAGAUGAGCCUAGGUCGGAUUAGCUAGUUGGUGGGGUAAAGGCCUACCAAGGCGACGAUCCGUAACUGGUCUGAGAGGAUGAUCAGUCACACUGGAACUGAGACGCGGUCCAGACUCCUACGGGAGGCAGCAGUGGGGAAUAUUGGACAAUGGGCGAAAGCCUGAUCCAGCCAUGCCGCGUGUGUGAAGAAGGUCUUCGGAUUGUAAAGCACUUUAAGUUGGGAGGAAGGGCAGUAAGUUAAUACCUUGCUGUUUUGACGUUACCAACAGAAUAAGCACCGGCUAACUUCGUG
rnacentral:rRNA from 1 species